CGAUGAAGCCCACUUGUGGGUGGAUUAGUGGCGAACGGGUGAGUAACACGUGAGUAACCUGCCCUUGACUCUGGGAUAAGCCUGGGAAACUGGGUCUAAUACCGGAUAUGACUCCUCAUCGCAUGGUGGGGGGUGGAAAGCUUUUUGUGGUUUUGGAUGGACUCGCGGCCUAUCAGCUUGUUGGUGAGGUAAUGGCUUACCAAGGCGACGACGGGUAGCCGGCCUGAGAGGGUGACCGGCCACACUGGGACUGAGACACGGCCCAGACUCCUACGGGAGGCAGCAGUGGGGAAUAUUGCACAAUGGGCGCAAGCCUGAUGCAGCGACGCCGCGUGAGGGAUGACGGCCUUCGGGUUGUAAACCUCUUUCAGUAGGGAAGAAGCCUUUCGGGGUGACGGUACCUGCAGAAGAAGCGCCGGCUAACUACGUGCCAGCAGCCGCGGUAAUACGUAGGGCGCAAGCGUUAUCCGGAAUUAUUGGGCGUAAAGAGCUCGUAGGCGGUUUGUCGCGUCUGCCGUGAAAGUCCGGGGCUCAACUCCGGAUCUGCGGUGGGUACGGGCAGACUAGAGUGAUGUAGGGGAGACUGGAAUUCCUGGUGUAGCGGUGAAAUGCGCAGAUAUCAGGAGGAACACCGAUGGCGAAGGCAGGUCUCUGGGCAUUAACUGACGCUGAGGAGCGAAAGCAUGGGGAGCGAACAGGAUUAGAUACCCUGGUAGUCCAUGCCGUAAACGUUGGGCACUAGGUGUGGGGGACAUUCCACGUUUUCCGCGCCGUAGCUAACGCAUUAAGUGCCCCGCCUGGGGAGUAC
rnacentral:rRNA from 1 species